GGGAAAUAACUGUUUUACAUUGCUGUUGCCUUUUUGUGCGAUAUUUAUGUUGCCUUUAAUUAAAUAUAGAAUUUUUUGACAUUUUUUUCGAUGCUGUUUUUUAAUCGUUAUUUAUAUGUAUUUUUUUCGGUUAUAUUUCAUGGGUCUUUUUACAGUUUAUAAAUGCUGAAUAUGUUGGAAAAAAUUGAUGUUUAAUAUAAAUCAAUCAUCAAUCAAAAUCAAACGUGAGUCAGAGUGCAAAGUUUAUGCGAGAACAUUGACUUCCAAUUGAUGUUAUAAGCAGUAAAAAUUGGAGAAAAAAUUGUGUUUGCGUCGUCGGAUGGCAGCUGAUUACAUAAAAUACGCGUCACAAGUGUAUGUCGCAAGCUGAUCUUUAUGAUUAUUGCAAAAAGUGAGCAAUCAGGCGGUAAGUGUUUAGAGCCGCUGUGUGAAGGCCUUACGGUUGUUACAUCAUUUGCGUAACGUUUCUAACCACUCGUUUAUUAACAGGUCCUAGGAGAGUGCUUGAGUAAAUCAAUUUUAUCGAUACGAAUAAAUAUUUCAAAUUUCAUGUUAAGAAUUUUCUAUUUCUACUUUAAACUUUAUGUAACGUAACAUAACGUUACGUUAUGUUGCACUGCAAAGGUCUCAAGAGUCUCUUCGGAUUUUCAGUAACGUGAUGUACAUUAUCCUAUUAUCGAAUUUUACCGACUUCAUCAUAAUCUUAUAAUUCGUCUAUUAUUGCAGGAGAGAGUACGAGGCAUGUUAUAAAUUUACUUCAACAUAUCAUGGAUAUAACACAAUUUGAAGGAAAUAGUUGAGGCUGCGAUGUAUCACAGAUUUGUUUUUCACUCUAGCUCAUAUGAAAUAUGUACAGAGAAUCCAAGAGUCGCAACGCUCCGUCAUAAAAUCUUAGU